rnacentral:misc_RNA from 1 species
CCGAGUUUUCAACUCCCAAACCCUGUGAACUUUUCCCGUUCCUGCCUCGGCGGGGCCCUCCUGGGCUCCCGCCGGCGGCGGACGACGCAGACUCUUCCCCGUGGGCUUCUGAGUGUCCCUAAAAAAAAGUCA